rnacentral:rRNA from 1 species
GAUGAACGCUGGCGGCGUGCCUAAUACAUGCAAGUCGAGCGAACAGAUAAGGAGCUUGCUCCUUUGACGUUAGCGGCGGACGGGUGAGUAACACGUGGGUAACCUACCUAUAAGACUGGAAUAACUCCGGGAAACCGGGGCUAAUGCCGGAUAACAUUUAGAACCGCAUGGUUCUAAAGUGAAAGAUGGUUUUGCUAUCACUUAUAGAUGGACCCGCGCCGUAUUAGCUAGUUGGUAAGGUAACGGCUUACCAAGGCAACGAUACGUAGCCGACCUGAGAGGGUGAUCGGCCACACUGGAACUGAGACACGGUCCAGACUCCUACGGGAGGCAGCAGUAGGGAAUCUUCCGCAAUGGGCGAAAGCCUGACGGAGCAACGCCGCGUGAGUGAUGAAGGUCUUCGGAUCGUAAAACUCUGUUAUUAGGGAAGAACAAAUGUGUAAGUAACUGUGCACGUCUUGACGGUACCUAAUCAGAAAGCCACGGCUGACUACGUG